rnacentral:rRNA from 1 species
CGCGUCGUGGUAUUUCGCGUAUUGUAAUUUCAACACGAGCGGGGUCAAAUCCUUUGCAGACGACUUAGCUGUGCGAAACGGUCCUGUAAGCAGUAGAGUAGCCUUGUUGUUACGAUCUGCUGAGGGUAAGCCGUCCUUCGCCUCGAU